rnacentral:rRNA from 1 species
CNAANCAUUACAAGCGAAACUGCGAAUGGCUCAUUAUAUAAGUUAUCGUUUAUUUGAUAGUACCUUACUACAUGGAUAACCGUGGUAAUUCUAGAGCUAAUACAUGCUGAAAAUCCCGACUUCGGAAGGGAUGUAUUUAUUAGAUUCAAAACCAAUGCCCUUCGGGGCUCCAAUGGUGAUUCAUGAUAACUUCUCGAAUCGCACGGCCCCGCGCCGGCGAUGGUUCAUUCAAAUUUCUUCCCUAUCAACUUUCGAUGCUACGGUAGUGUCCUAGCAUGGUUGCAACGGGUAACGGGGAAUUNGNNUGCCAUCGUAGGCGAGGGGCGUGNGAUUCGAGAAGUUAUAUGAAUCACCAUUGGAGNCCGANGGGCNUUGGUUUGNAUCUAUAAAUAAAUUUNGAAGNGGGAUUUUCAGGUUUNGNUCCUGCCUUUCCACGGUUUNGNCGG